UGAUAAUCUGCUUCAGAAAUAGAAGUCUUGGGGAGGAAGGCUUAGUUGGUUAGUAUUGCACUAACAAUUAACGUUUUCUCCAUAGCUUAAUCAGGUAAAGGGAAAGAAAAGCUCACCCAACCUUGAGUGGAGAGCUUAGGUGGUGAUGUGUACAUAUGCGGCCGCUUGACCACCAUGGUCAAGGAGUUCUCAGAGGAACUAGGGGGUUUACCUUAUUUUUGCCGCUUAGGUCGACGAGGUUUGUAAAUUUGAAACAGUAAUGACCAGUUUGAGUUGUAAAUAACUUGUAAAACUUUUUAUGGGCCCAUGCACAAUUUAUGUAUUUAAUAAAA